rnacentral:rRNA from 1 species
CGUGUAGGUGGCUUGUUAUGUCAGGUGUGAAAGCCCUCGGCCUAACCGAGGAAGUGCGCCUGAAACUGCCAAGCUUGAGUACGAGAGAGGAGGACGGAAUUCCCAGUGUAGAGGUGAAAUUCGUAGAUAUUGGGAGGAACACCGGUGGCGAAAGCGGUUCUCUGGAUCGAUACUGACGCUAAGACGCGAAAGCGUGGGGAGCAAACA